AUGACUAGGGAUAACCUUAGGAAGAGACACAUCAUCAAACCCCUUGAUUGUGUUUACUGCUUGGAACAAGAGUCUUGUUCUCACCUAUUUUUUGAAUGUAUAGUUGCUAAACAUCUCUGGGCCCACAUUGAGGAAUAUUUCUCUAGUCAGAUUGGCUCAUCCUUCGAAUCUGUCGCCAGAUUCUGGAUUGCUACCAAAAAGUGCUCAGUUUUAAACACUGUUAGCUCAGCUGUCCUUUGGUGCCUCUGGAAAUAUAGAAAUGCUAUGAUUUUCAGUAACACCUCCUGGAUUUCCAUUCCACAGGUCUUGAGGUGA
rnacentral:rRNA from 1 species